rnacentral:rRNA from 1 species
AACGCGAAGAACCUUACCUGGGCUCGAAAUGUAGUGGACCGGGGUAGAAAUAUCCCUUCCUAGCAAUAGGCUGCUAUAUAGGUGCUGCAUGGCUGUCGUCAGCUCGUGUCGUGAGAUGUUGGGUUAAGUCCCGCAACGAGCGCAACCCUUAUUACCAGUUGCCAUCAUUCAGUUGGGCACUCUGGUGAGACCGCCUCGGAUAACGGGGAGGAAGGCGGGGAUGACGUCAAGUCCUCAUGGCCUUUAUGUCCAGGGCUACACACGUGCUACAAUGGCCGGUACAAACCGUCGCAAACCCGUGAGGGGGAGCUAAUCGGAAAAAGCCGGCCUCAGUUCGGAUUGGAGUCUGCAACUCGACUCCAUGAAGCUGGAAUCGCUAGUAAUCGCGGAUCAGAACGCCGCGGUGAAUACGUUCCCGGGCCUUGUA